rnacentral:piRNA from 1 species
CACGGAGCAAUACCCUGAGGAUCAGGCC